rfam:Candidatus Nomurabacteria bacterium RIFCSPHIGHO2_02_FTLL_38_15 rifcsphigho2_02_scaffold_1770, whole genome shotgun sequence.
CCUAAUGGGAUAAUAAGAGCAUAUGGCGGAUGCCUAGACUCUCAAUAGCGAUGAAGGACGUGGGAGGCUGCGAUAAGCUUCGGGGAGGUGUCUACAACCUUUGAUCCGGAGAUUUCCGAAUGGGGAAACCCUACAUAGCAAACCUAUGUAAUUAACACUCAUAAGAAGUGUUGAUGCGCACCCUGGGAAGUGAAACAUCUCAGUACCAGGAGGAACAGAAAACAAACCCUAACUAUACGUUGGGGAAUAUUUCCUAAGUAGCGGCGAGCGAAAAGGAAAGAGCCCAAACCUGUCUAACAUUGAGCACAUAUCAGUAUGAAGCUUUGUACUAAAUAUUGUGUGUUCAAUGUUGGACGGGGGUUGUAGGGUAGCAACUUCGAAUUAACGAGAAAAGUCAAAAAAUUGCACAAUAGAUUAAGUUGUUGGAAACCAACACCAUAGACGGUGAUAGUCCGGUAAUCGAAAUUCUGCAAACUUUUUUGUUGCUAUACCUGAGUAGCUCAGGAAACGAAAAGCUUGAGCGAAUCCAGCAGAACUAACUGCUAAGGCUAAAUAUAUUGAGAGAUCGAUAGUGAACAAGUACCGUGAGGGAAAGGUGAAAAGAACCCUGAAAAGGGAGUGAAAUAGAUCCUGAAACCAUAUGCUUACAAGGAGUCGGAGCGGACGCGAUUUAUCGUGUUCCGUCACGGCGUGCCUAUUGAAGAAUGAGCCAACGAGUUUAUUUGUGUUGCUGGCUAAGUGGAAACCCCACGGAGCCUCAGGGAAACCAAGUGUUAAUAGCGCGAAAAAAUUAAGUAGUACAAAUAAGACCCGAAGCCAAGUGAGCUACCCAUGAGCAGGUUGAAGUUUGUCGAAAGACAAAUGGAGGACCGAACCGGUGAGCCGUACGACACUCUCGGAUGACUUGUGGGUUGGAGUGAAAAGCUAAUCGAACUUGGUAAUAGCUGGUUCUCGCCGAAAUAGCUUUAGGGCUAGCGUACACCGUACCCUCUGGGGGUAGAGCACUGGAAGAUUUUGAUAGGGAGAAAUCUCGCAAAAUCUACCAAACUCCGAAUACCAGAGACCAACUAGUGUGCAGUUAGACAGUGGGGGCUAAGCUCCACGCGUCAAAAGGGGAACAGCCCAGAUCUCAGGUUAAGGUCCCUAAAUCAUAGUUAAGUGCAUCUUAAGGAGGUAAUAUUUCUCUGACAAUGAGGAGGUUGGCUUAGAAGCAGCCAUCCUUUAAAGAAAGCGUAACAGCUCACUCAUCAAGAGAUUUUGCACCGAAAAUAAUCGGGGCUAAACUAUGUACCGAAACUGAGGAUUUGUCCCGCCUUUGGCGGGAUGACUGGUAGGCGAGUAUUCGAUUCAGCUGUGAAGGUAAAGGGGUGACCCAUACUGGAGCGUAUCGAAGUAAGAAUGUUGGCACAAGUAACCGCAAGGAGGGUGAGACCCCCUCCCGCCGAAAGAUCAAGGUUUCCUUGGCAAUGUCAAUCAGCCAAGGGUUAGUCGGGCCUAAGGGGAUGGUGAAAACCGAACUCGAUGGACACAUGGUUAAUAUUCCAUGACUUUCUAUAUAUGUGAUGAAGGGACGAAGGGUUGUACCAAUCGCUUCUUAUUGGAUUGAAGUAUAUGGUAUGAGGAUGUUUGGUAGGCAAAUCCGCCAGACACAAAUCCGAGUACAGUUUAAAUGCCAGGGUUCGCCUUGGUAAAUGAAUGGGAGCACGCUUCCGAGAAAAUCUUCUAAACUUUGUAUAUAGAAAACCGUACCGCAAACCGACACAGGUGAUCAGGUCGAGUAGACCAAGGCGAACGAGUGAGUGAUCUUCAAGGAACUCGGCAAAAAAGCAGCCGUAAGUUAGCAAUAAGGCUUGCCCCUAUUUAUUUAGGGGCCGCAGCGAAAGUUUCUCUGGCAACUGUUUACCAAAAACACAGCUCCCUGCGAACACGUAAGUGGAUGUAUAGGGGGUGACGCCUGACCAAUGCUAGAAGGUUAAAUAUCGACGUUGUCCCGAUGUAAAGUCGGGUUGGUGAUUGAUACAAGCCCUAGUGAAUGUCGGCCGUAACUAUAACGGUUAUUUUGCUACGCUUUAUUGAUUUUGUCAAUAAAGAAACAAAAUGGGCCGUUACAAAAUUUGGCUAUAUGCUGGAACAUACGCAAAACACAGUACCAUACGUUGGUGAAAAUCUGUGAAUGAUACGUACAAUCAGCAGGAAAGAUGUAUUGAGUCAUAAAAUAAUAUGACAAAAAAUAAAAAUUUAUUUUGGUAUGUGGCAGGUUUCAUUGAUGGUGAGGGAAGUUUUAAUAUUUCUUUUACUAAGCAAAAAUAUGCCCAUAAUAACCAAGGUUUUAAAUGGUUGAUUCAUGUUUGUUUCCAAACAUAUCAACACGAAGACCAUCGAGAUAUUCUCGAAUUGUUACAAAAACAAGUUUUUCACACAGGUAGAAUUUAUAGGAAAUCAAGUCCGUAUCAUGUUUUUACGUAUACGGUUGAUAAUCCUAGAAAUUUGUGUGAAAAAAUUAUUCCAUUCUUUAAUAAAUAUAAGUUAAUUAUUAAAGAUAAAGACUUUCAACUUUUUAAAGAAGUUGUACAAAUGCUUUUAGAUAAAAAGCAUCUAACAGAAAGUGGAUUCAAAAAGAUAUUGGAUAUCGCAUUUAAAAUGAAUGCAAACGGCAAACAAAGAAAGUAUUCAAAAGAAUAUAUUCUUGAAACCGUAAAAGAACAAUUAUCAAGAAAAUAAACUCAAUACAAAUCCUCAGAGACUAUACGCCAAACACGACACAAUAAUCGUGAAGAUAUAGUCCACAAGGUUUAUAGAAAUAUAAAAUUCUUAUGCCUAAGGUAGCGAAGUACCUUGUCGGGUAAGUUCCGACGCGCACGAAUGGCGUAAUGACUGGAGAACUGUCUCGAAGAUUAGCUCGGUGAAAAUACAAUACCGGUGAAGAUGCCGGUUACCUGCAGAUAGACGAAAAGACCCCGGAAGCUUUACUGCAACUUGAUAUUGAGCAUAUGUUAGUACUGCGUAGCAUAGGUGGGAGAGGUUAUGUGCAUCCUUUUGGGGGUGUAAUACUCGUCAGUGAAAUACCACUCUGUAUGUAUGUAUGUUCUAAUUAAGACGGCAAAAACGUCUUGAGACAGUAUCUGGUGGGUAGUUUGACUGGGGCGGUCUCCUCCUAAAGAGUAACGGAGGAAUUUAUUAAGGUUAGUUAGGCGCGUAUGGAAAUCGUGCCGAUAGUGCAAGGGCAUAAACUAGCUUAACUGCAAGAGGUACAUCUCGAGCAGAUACGAAAGUAGAACCUAGUGAACCGACGGUUCGUGUUAGACGCGGCCGAAGAUUAAUGGAUAGAAGCUACUCCGGGGAUAACAGGCUAGUUCCGCCUAAGCGUCCAUAGCGACGGCGGAGUUCGGCACCUCGAUGUCGGCUCACCUUAACCUGGGGGUGGAGAAGCUCCCAAGGGUAUGGCUGUUCGCCAUUUAAAAAGGUACGCGAGCUGGGUUCAAACCGUCCAGUACUUUAGGUUUUAGUUUCUAGUGACUAGUUUCUAGUGAAAUGCAAAUUUUUCUAGAACCUAGCACCUAGUUACUAGCACCUUGAGUCUUGGACCCAUUUGAAUCCGAGGUAAUUGCACUGUUGGAGAAUUGCAAUUAAAAAGACAUCAUCACGGCGGCUACAUAUAGUAAUAUAUGUAUGCACAUUCAACUUAUAUCGGUAAAAUCCUAAUGCGUAAGCAUGGACAAUACCGAGGGAAGAUUAUUUGUAUUGAAAAGUGAAAUCUGGAAAUAACCUAAAUAUUUAAUAGAGUGCUUCGACGCUUGUAGCCUCUGAUGCAAUGUUAGCCUGUACCAUUAGAACACAGAGCACAAACAUGGAAUAUCAAUGGUCCAAAGAAUCACUAGACAAAGGGAGGUUUAAUAACAAGUGAUUAAACCUCCAUACUUUGUCUUCACUUUUCAGUACAAAUAAUUACCCGUAGAGACUAAACGUUGAAGUCCCACUACGCUCUAAUGAGCUACGCGGGAUAUGUUAUAGUCCGAUCCCUUCAGUAAUGAAGGUAAACGUAGAUGCGUGAGACAGGUUGGUCUCCUAUCUACUGCAGGCGUUGACUCUUGAAAAGAUUCGUCCCUAGUACGAGAGGACCGGGAUGAACUGACCUCUGGUGUACCAGCUCUUUUGCCAAAAGGAUCGCUGGGUAGCUAAGUCGGGAAUGGAUAACCUCUGAAAGCAUCUAAGAGGGAAGCCAACUUUAAGAUGAGGAGUCGGUAUGAGGACCCUAGAAGAUUACUAGGUUGAUAGGCAUUAGGUGUAAGCACCGCAAGGUGUUCAGCCAAGAUGUACUAAUUGUCCCAUUCCUAUUAGGUA